rnacentral:rRNA from 1 species
CUACGGGCCGCUGCAGUGAGGAAUAUUGCACAAUGGGGGGAACCCUGAUGCAGCAACGCCGCGUGGAGGAUGACGCAUUUCGGUGUGUAAACUCCUUUUAUAUGUCAAGAAAAUGACGGUAGCAUAUGAAUAAGCACCGGCUAACUCCGUGCCAGCAGCCGCGGUAAUACGGAGGGUGCAAGCGUUACUCGGAAUCACUGGGCGUAAAGGACGCGUAGGCGGGUUGGAAAGUCAGGUGUGAAAUCCUACAGCUUAACUGUAGAACUGCACUUGAAACUUCUAAUCUAGAGUAUGGGAGGGGGGGAUGGAAUUAGUGGUGUAGGGGUAAAAUCCGUAGAUAUCACUAGGAAUACCUAAAGCGAAGGCGAUUUCCUGGAACAUUACUGACGCUAAGGCGUGAAAGCGUGGGGAGCAAACCGGAUUAGAUACCCUGGUAGUC